rnacentral:lncRNA from 1 species
AUUGUUGAAUCAAGCAAAACUGUUGUGAAACACAGGAUGUGAUUCUCUGAUUAACUCUUUUCUUUCUAGGACACAUGCAGUGUAUCAGAUCCUAGCAGCCUGUCAGUGCGUGUCCUCCAGAGCUUUCUAGCAUCCUGGAUUCUCUCCAGAAGCAUGGAAACAAGUUCAGCCAGACAUUACUGAGGCACAUUCCAGAAAUACUGUAUGGACAGAAGGGAAAAGUGCAAGGUUAUCGUUCGGGGGUUUUGGACACAUUCCCAUCUGCUGUCAAGGCAUGUCCUUUAGAACAUCAGUUUUCAUUUGCUUCAUGUGCAUUGAGAAUCAAAGCCUCAGCUCUAGUUCUGCAUUUCUGGAA